rnacentral:rRNA from 1 species
CGGUAGCUAAUACCGCAUAACGUCGCAAGACCAAAGAGGGGGACCUUCGGGCCUCUUGCCAUCGGAUGUGCCCAGAUGGGAUUAGCUAGUAGGUGGGGUAAAGGCUCACCUAGGCGACGAUCCCUAGCUGGUCUGAGAGGAUGACCAGCCACACUGGAACUGAGACACGGUCCAGACUCCUACGGGAGGCAGCAGUGGGGAAUAUUGCACAAUGGGCGCAAGCCUGAUGCAGCCAUGCCGCGUGUAUGAAGAAGGCCUUCGGGUUGUAAAGUACUUUCAGCGGGGAGGAAGGGAGUAAAGUUAAUACCUUUGCUCAUUGACGUUACCCGCAGAAGAAGCACCGGCUAACUCCGUGCCAGCAGCCGCGGUAAUACGGAGGGUGCAAGCGUUAAUCGGAAUUACUGGGCGUAAAGCGCACGCAGGCGGUUUGUUAAGUCAGAUGUGAAAUCCCCGGGCUCAACCUGGGAACUGCAUCUGAUACUGGCAAGCUUGAGUCUCGUAGAGGGGGGUAGAAUUCCAGGUGUAGCGGUGAAAUGCGUAGAGAUCUGGAGGAAUACCGGUGGCGAAGGCGG